rfam:Frankia sp. EI5c TG55_1033, whole genome shotgun sequence.
GCAAAGGGUCGUGACUGGCGCGCUCGGGUGGAACUGACCACCAGGGAGCGACGAAGCUUGAUGGCGGUGCCGCGCGCCUGGGUACCUCCG